rnacentral:rRNA from 1 species
GAUGAACGCUGGCGGCGUGCUUAACACAUGCAAGUCGAACGGAAAGGCCAGUGCUUGCACUGGUACUCGAGUGGCGAACGGGUGAGUAACACGUGGGUGAUCUGCCCUGUACUUCGGGAUAAGCUUGGGAAACUGGGUCUAAUACCGGAUAGGACAACUUUUUGGAUAUUGUUGUGGAAAGCUUUUGCGGUAUGGGAUGAGCUCGCGGCCUAUCAGCUUGUUGGUGGGGUAAUGGCCUACCAAGGCGUCGACGGGUAGCCGGCCUGAGAGGGUGUACGGCCACAUUGGGACUGAGAUACGGCCCAGACUCCUACGGGAGGCAGCAGUGGGGAAUAUUGCACAAUGGGCGCAAGCCUGAUGCAGCGACGCCGCGUGGGGGAUGAAGGCCUUCGGGUUGUAAACUCCUUUCGCUAGGGACGAAGCUUUUUUGUGACGGUACCUGGAGAAGAAGCACCGGCUGACUACGUG